GAAAGGAAAAAUUUGUGGCUUACAUAUGGCACUGGAUCCCAUCAGACCUCCAAAGUUAAGCGUCCCUGGGCUUGAAUAGUACUGGGCUGGGUGACCACCCGGGAAGUCCAAGUGACCCCCUCU
rnacentral:rRNA from 1 species